GGGCCAGUAGCUCAGCUGGACAGAGUGGCAGACUUCGAAUCUGCAGGCCGGGGGUUCGAGCCCCUCCUGGCUCA
rnacentral:tRNA from 1 species